rnacentral:lncRNA from 1 species
ACCCAACCACCACACUGUAAGAACAACUACAGGGAUGUAGGUAGACAUUUCACAUCACAGCUUUGGUGGAGCUCCUAGUGAGCACUCGGAAUCAAUGGGGACGAGAGCAAGAAUGAUUCAACAUGCUUCCAGCACUGGCUAUGAAAGAAAGCUCGAGAGAGAUUGCCCAGCUAGAUGGACACCAGAAUCUGAGAAGCUGAUGCAACAUGACCAGCCCCCUCAGAUUCCUGCUGCUGCGGCUUCACUGCUAUAAUGGACUGUAACCUGGAACUGUGAGUUCAUGCUGGGAUUUGAGGUAUGUGCCACCACCAACCAGCAGAGCUGUGUUUCUUUAAGUGUGACCUGCCCCAGCAUGUUGUGGUUGAAAAUGGACCGACUCCUAACAUGUAAAACUAACUCAGGACCUCUGGAAGAGCAGCCAGUGCUGUUUACCACUGAGCCAUCUCACCAGCCUGGAAGUUGGUAUUCUUUCUAAAACAUUUUUUUUAAUUGGUUCUUUGUGAAUUUCACAUCACACACCCCAAUCCCACUCAUCUCUCUCUCUCCCCCUCAUACUGACCCUCCACCCUUGCAACCUGCCCCACAACAGAGAGAGAAAAAAAAAGCCUCA